GACUGCACGGUGGUGCAGCGGGUAGCACUAUUGCCUUGCAAGAAGGUCCUGGGUUCAAAUCCUAAUCUGGGUCC